rnacentral:rRNA from 1 species
GACAAACGCUGGCGGCAUGCCUAACACAUGCAAGUCGAACGGACAGAACAGGGAAGCUUUUCGGAGUGGAACUGGAAAGUUAGUGGCGGAUGGGUGAGUAACGCGUGGACAACCUACCUUGUAAAGGGGAAUAACCUCGAGAAAUCGAAGCUAAUACCCCAUAAUAACCUUGCUUCGCAUGAAGUAAGGAGGAAAGGCGGCCUUAGCGCUGUCGAUACAAGAUGGGUCCGCGUCUGAUUAGCUAGUUGGUGAGGUAAAGGCUCACCAAGGCGACGAUCAGUAGCCGACCUGAGAGGGUGAACGGCCACAUUGAGACUGAGACACGGCCCAAACUCCUACGGGAGGCAGCAGUGGGGAAUCUUCCGCAAUGGGCGAAAGCCUGACGGAGCAAUGCCGCGUGAGUGAAGAAGGCCUUCGGGUUGUAAAACUCUGUCCUUAUCGAAGAGAGAGUGUUGUAGUAACUGACAAUACUAGGACGGUAGAUGAGGAGGAAGCCCCGGCUAACUAUGUG